UGAGCUACAGUGACCAUUUAGCCAGUAAACAUACGUGAAAUACCGUCUUCUCGACAUAAAAAUGUACACCGUGGCUUCCAGACAUAUCGAGUGUGGCUGAGUAGAGGUUUGGAGGAUUUUGAAGGUUUUGCCAGUGGUCCCCGCAGACAUCUGUUGUUUGGAAAAAUACUGAAAGCUGUCUCCCCGUGGGACAUGGGGCAGAGAAUUUGGAGAAAAAGGGACAGCAAAGUGGUCGUUGCAGUCAUUUAAUCACCUGAGAAGACUAACACGUACAUACUUCGUCAGAGUGAAUUCAAUUCUCUAGCACCACACAAGUGGUUGCUGGGUGAGACAAUCCAGUGCUAUCUCAGAGCCAUCCUGAACAUGAAAGGGUUUGGAAAAAGAAUAUACCCCUUAAAUCAUUACUCAGCUGGAGUCAUAGUUUUUGGAGAACGGUCUGCCAUGAGUAAUCACUCAUUGUGCAAGGUUAACUUUGACAACUAUGAUGGAGUGGUAGCAUUCAUGAAUGUUGGACACAACCACUGGAGAUUGUUGUAUAUGCACAAGUUGAACCAAAAUGUGUACAUCGUGGAUCCCUUGGGUCAGGAUGAGGACAAAGACUUGGGCGUCGCUGCAUCACGUUUCGCCAGUUCUUCAACAUGCAGCAGAACCUCUACCAGAAGACUGAUUGGGUGGGUGUUAAGUGGCAGCCAGCUACAAUCACCCACAGCAUCCAAAAGGAUGGUUAUAGCUGCGGUGUUUUUGUCAUGAAGAUGGCUGCAGAUGUGGUGGGGGCUUUUCCAGUUGUCCCCCAGAAGAUCGAAAUACCCACACUGCGAAAAGACAUAAAAGAACUAAGGAUCGACAUGGCAAAAACUCUUCUGCAGUGCUCUGUCUUCAGUGAAGAAGACCAUUGCUCCAGUUGUGGCUUGGAGUAUCCAAAGGCAACAGGACAGAGCCAAACCACAAAAUGGGUAUAAUGAAGGCCAUAAUUGAAAAGGACCACAAGGCUGAAGAACAAAAGGUACUUUUUAUUGUAAUCAUUACAAUUUUUAUUUAUUUAUUGUUCCAUAUGAAAAACUUUAUCUGCAGCAUACCCCAGGACGUGACCUUCAUCCCGCAGGUGCCCAGGUUUACACAAUGUAAACGCGUUUUUGCCUGUAUCUUCCAAAGCAUACAUCGCACAUUCAAAAGUUUUAUACCCACAUGUUCAGGGAAUUGUUCUGAAUCACGUGCCCAAUUCUGCCAAGCGUUGGCAAAUACAAUCUAGAGACUGUCAUGAUACAAAGUUGGACAAGGAAUCUUUAUGUCACAAUAAUUGAGCGUUAGUAAUGAACAAAUAUUUAUACCUAGCUAGCUAAUCACAAACUCUUACAUAUCUUGGCCACAGUACAAGCUAUUCAGACAAACUUUUAUACAUCUGUUAAGAAUGCCACUGUGAGGCGCGGCACAAAAAAUCAGUGUACUUUGCUCUCUAGUAGGCGCUAUUAAACAUCUUAAAAAUAUCAUGUCAUGAUCAUUCUCAAAGCAAGUAACAUCUUGUGCAGUGUUGUGAGUGUGGUGCUAGCAAUACCAGGAACUUCAGGGUCCGCCUGUCAGUCGCCGGGCAGGGCCAUGCCCGACUCGCGCAGGUGUCUUGGACCCCGUUCAUAACUGCUUGCAGUUGUAAUCGAUUCUUACUAUUUAGAUUUCUCAAUUCUGUCAUUCUCUUUCUCUUAAUUCCACUAUUAUAUGUACAUUGUCAGUGGUAGAUGAAUCUGUAAAUCUACAUCUUUUAUUUCUUGAAUGAUGUGUUCUUGUUGUUUGCACACAAAAAAUAAAUAAUAAUAAUAUUACA